rnacentral:rRNA from 1 species
GACGAACGCUGGCGGCGUGCCUAAUACAUGCAAGUUGAGCGCUGAAGGUUGGUACUUGUCCCGACUGGAUGAGCAGCGAACGGGUGAGUAACGCGUGGGGAAUCUGCCUUUGAGCGGGGGACAACAUUUGGAAACGAAUGCUAAUACCGCAUAAAAACUUUAAACACAAGUUUUAAGUUUGAAAGAUGCAAUUGCAUCACUCAAAGAUGAUCCCGCGUUGUAUUAGCUAGUUGGUGAGGUAAAGGCUCACCAAGGCGAUGAUACAUAGCCGACCUGAGAGGGUGAUCGGCCACAUUGGGACUGAGACACGGCCCAAACUCCUACGGGAGGCAGCAGUAGGGAAUCUUCGGCAAUGGACGAAAGUCUGACCGAGCAACGCCGCGGGAGUGAAGAAGGUUUUCGGAUCGUAAAACUCUGUUGGUAGAGAAGAACGUUGGUGAGAGUGGAAAGCUCAUCAAGUGACGGUAACUACCCAGAAAGGGACGGCUAACUACGUG